rnacentral:rRNA from 1 species
UACGAAGGGGGCUAGCGUUGCUCGGAAUCACUGGGCGUAAAGCGCACGUAGGCGGAUUGUUAAGUCAGGGGUGAAAUCCUGGAGCUCAACUCCAGAACUGCCUUUGAUACUGGCGAGCUUGAGUCCGGGAGAGGUGAGUGGAACUGCGAGUGUAGAGGUGAAAUUCGUAGAUAUUCGCAAGAACACCAGUGGCGAAGGCGGCUCACUGGCCCGGUACUGACGCUGAGGUGCGAAAGCGUGGGGAG